rnacentral:rRNA from 1 species
GACGAACGCUGGCGGCGUGCUUAACACAUGCAAGUCGAGCGGAAAGGCCACUUCGGUGGUACUCGAGCGGCGAACGGGUGAGUAACACGUGAGUAAUCUGCCCUUCACUUCGGGAUAGCUCCGGGAAACCGGGAUUAAUACCGGAUGUGACCACAUGUCGCAUGGUGUGUGGUGGAAACUUUUUUGGGUGGGGGAUGUGCUCGCGGCCUAUCAGCUUGUUGGUGGGGUAAUGGCCUACCAAGGCUUCGACGGGUAGCCGGCCUGAGAGGGUGACCGGCCACACUGGGACUGAGACACGGCCCAGACUCCUACGGGAGGCAGCAGUGGGGAAUAUUGGACAAUGGGCGGAAGCCUGAUCCAGCAACGCCGCGUGAGGGAUGACGGCCUUCGGGUUGUAAACCUCUUUCAGCAGGGACGAAAUUGACGGUACCUGCAGAAGAAGCCCCGGCCAACUACGUGCCAGCCGCCGCCGUAA